GUCGAGCGGCAGCGACUACAUUGAACCUUCGGGGGAUUUGUUGGGCGGCUUGCGGCGGACGGGUAAGUAAUGCCUGGGAAAUUGCCCUGAUGUGGGGGAUAACCAUUGGAAACGAUGGCUAAUACCGCAUGAUAGCUUCGGCUCAAAGAGGGGGACCUUCGGGCCUCUCGCGUCAGGAUAUGCCCAGGUGGGAUUAGCUAGUUGGUGAGGUAAGGGCUCACCAAGGCGACGAUCCCUAGCUGGUCUGAGAGGAUGAUCAGCCACACUGGAAUUGAGACACGGUCCAGACUCCUACGGGAGGCAGCAGUGGGGAAUAUUGCACAAUGUGCGCAAGCCUGAUGCAGCCAUGCCGCGUGUAUGAAGAAGGCCUUCGGGUUGUAAAGUACUUUCAGCAGUGAGGAAGGAGGUAUCGUUAAUAGCGGUAUCUUUUGACGUUAGCUGCAGAAGAAGCACCGGCUAACUCCGUGCCAGCAGCCGCGGUAAUACGGAGGGUGCGAGCGUUAAUCGGAAUUACUGGGCGUAAAGCGCAUGCAGGUGGUUUGUUAAGUCAGAUGUGAAAGCCCGGGGCUCAACCUCGGAAUUGCAUUUGAAACUGGCAGGCUAGAGUACUGUAGAGGGGGGUAGAAUUUCAGGUGUAGCGGUGAAAUGCGUAGAGAUCUGA
rnacentral:rRNA from 1 species